ACCAAAGACAUUACACUAGGUUAGCUGUUGACCAUGAUGGGGUUUAAACCAAAGACAUUACACUAGGUUAGCUAGCUGUUGACCAUGUUGGGGUUUAAACCAAAGACAUUACACUAGGUUAGCUGUUGACUGUUGUGGGGUUUAAACCAAAGACAUUACACUAGGUUAGCUGUUGACCAUGAUGGGGUUUAAACCAAAGACAUUACACUAGGUUAGCUGUUGACCAUGAUGGGGUUUAAACCAAAGACAUUACACUAGGUUAGCUGUUGACCAUGAUGGGGUUUAAACCAAAGACAUUACACUAGGUUAGCUGCUGAUCAUGAUGGGGUUUAAACCAAAGACAUUACACUAGGUUAGCUGUUGACCAUGAUGGGGUUUAAACCAAAGACAUUACACUAGGUUAGCUGUUGGCCAUGAUGGGGUUUAAACCAAAGACAUUACACUAGGUUAGCUGUUGACCAUGAUGGGGUUUAAACCAAAGACAUUACACUAGGUUAGCUGUUGACCAUGAUGGGGUUUAAACCAAAGACAUUACACUAGGUUAGCUAGCUGUUGACCAUGAUGGGGUUUAAACCAAAGACAUUACACUAGGUUAGCUGUUGACCAUGAUGGGGUUUAAACCAAAGACAUUACACUAGGUUAGCUGUUGACCAUGAUAGGGUUUAAACCAAAGACAUUACACUAGGUUAGCUAGUUGCUGACCAUGAUAGGGUUUAAACCAAAGACAUUACACUAGGCUGGUCAUUUGUUGCCUAGAUGAAGGUGAAUGAGAGAAGUGGUGAAUGAAAAACAGAAUGACUCUUCCAUAAACUCCCAUAACAUAUCAUAACAUACUAAAAACAACCAUAACAACCAAAUCCUUUACAUCACACACGCAAUGGACAUUCCAGUUAACAUACAUACAUACCAUAACACACAGUUAUUACUAACAUAACUUAAACUUUAUCAAAAUAGGCGAGUAUUAUAAGGCACUAUAUAGUCUAAACUUAACAAUACUUAUUUGAUGCUGUUUGGAAAUACCACAAGUUGUUGCUCAUUCAUUGCUGUGAUACACACAAAAGGAUGACAUCAUCUACUUGUGCCAUGACAAGACAAAAAUGUAUCUACUUCCUGGGUCAAAGGUCCUUGAAACGGACACGUUUCAUUGGGCAGGUGCAAUAUCAGUCAUAAUAACACCGUGGUGCCUGAAAAGAUAGGUCCUCGUCAACAUUAUACAUGGCGAAACUUGAGUAGUGAGACACUUGACAGAAAUAUAAUAGUCACACAUAUACUUAUUGCACGGGUACUGAAUCAGAGAGAGAACGCUUAUAUAUCUGGGAGCAUUCCAAUGAGAAAAUUACCUUCACCCAUUCCUCCCUCCUUUCCUCCAUCCCUCCCUCCUUUCCCCAUCCCUCCCUCCAUCCCUCCCUCCUUUCCUCCCUCCUUUCCUCCAUCCCUCCCUCCCUCCUUUCCUCAUCCCUCCCUCCCUCCUUUCACCCAUCCCUCCCUCCUUCACCCACCCAUUCCUCCCUCCUUCA
rnacentral:lncRNA from 1 species